rnacentral:rRNA from 1 species
GACGAACCGAGCGAACGUUGUUCGGAAUCACUGGGCUUAAAGGGCGCGUAGGCGGGCGGCCGCGUCCGGGGUGAAAUCCUCCGGCUUAACCGGAGAACGGCCCCGGGUACGGGUCGUCUGGAGAGGGGUAGGGGCCCGCGGAACUAUGGGUGGAGCGGUGAAAUGCGUUGAUAUCCAUAGGAACUCCGGUGGCGAAGGCGGCGGGCUGGACCCCUUCUGACGCUGAGGCGCGAAAGCCAGGGGAGCGAACGGG